rnacentral:rRNA from 1 species
UACGUAGGGGGCAAGCGUUGUCCGGAAUCAUUGGGCGUAAAGCGCGUGUAGGCGGUUCAGUAAGUCUGCUGUGAAAGUCCAGGGCUCAACCCUGGGAUGCCGGUGGAUACUGCUGGGCUAGAGUACGGAAGAGGCGAGUGGAAUUCCCGGUGUAGCGGUGAAAUGCGCAGAUAUCGGGAGGAACACCUAUUGCGAAGGCAGCUCGCUGGGACGUUACUGACGCUGAGGCGCGAAAGCGUGGGGAGCAAACAGG